AAUGUGAACGUUACCAAACUGUUGCCUCGGCGGGAUCUCUGCCCCGGGUGCGUCGCAGCCCCGGACCAAGGCGCCCGCCGGAGGACCAACCAAAACUCUUAUUGUAUACCCCCUCGCGGGUUUUUUUUAUAAUCUGAGCCUUCUCGGCGCCUCUCGUAGGCGUUUCGAAAAUGAAUCAAAACUUUCAACAACGGAUCUCUUGGUUCUGGCAUCGAUGAAGAACGCAGCGAAAUGCGAUAAGUAAUGUGAAUUGCAGAAUUCAGUGAAUCAUCGAAUCUUUGAACGCACAUUGCGCCCGCCAGUAUUCUGGCGGGCAUGCCUGUCCGAGCGUCAUUUCAACCCUCGAACCCCUCCGGGGGGUCGGCGUUGGGGAUCGGCCCUGCCUUGGCGGUGGCCGUCUCCGAAAUACAGUGGCGGUCUCGCCGCAGCCUCUCCUGCGCAGUAGUUUGCACACUCGCAUCGGGAGCGCGGCGCGUCCACAGCCGUUAAACACCCAACUUCUGAAAUGUUGACCUCGGAUCAGGUAGGAAUACCCGCUGAACUUAAGCAUAUCAAUAAGCGGAGGAAAAGAAACCAACAGGGAUUGCCCCAGUAACGGCGAGUGAAGCGGCAACAGCUCAAAUUUGAAAUCUGGUCCCUAGGGCCCGAGUUGUAAUUUGUAGAGGAUGCUUUUGGUGAGGUGCCGCCCGAGUUCCCUGGAACGGGACGCCACAGAGGGUGAGAGCCCCGUCUGGCUGGCCGCCGAGCCUCUGUAAAGCUCCUUCGACGAGUCGAGUAGUUUGGGAAUGCUGCUCAAAAUGGGAGGUAUAUGUCUUCUAAAGCUAAAUAUUGGCCAGAGACCGAUAGCGCACAAGUAGAGUGAUCGAAAGAUGAAAAGCACCUUGAAAAGAGGGUUAAAUAGUACGUGAAAUUGUUGAAAGGGAAGCGCUUGUGACCAGACUUGGGCGCGGCGGAUCAUCCGGGGUUCUCUCCGGUGCACUUCGCCGCGUCUAGGCCAGCAUCAGUUCGUCGCGGGGGAAAAAGGCUUCGGGAACGUGGCUCCUCCGGGAGUGUUAUAGCCCGUUGCUUAAUACCCUGCGGUGGACUGAGGACCGCCAUCU
rnacentral:sRNA from 1 species